rnacentral:lncRNA from 1 species
CAGUCCUGAGUGUACUGAUAUUCUGGGAUGUGGCUUAUACUUGGAACAUGACUAUACCCUUUUUCUUUCUCCGUUCUCCUGAUUGCCUCAGUUUGAUAAACAAUUCUACAUCUUCCUCUUUACUAAAAUGAGAAACAUAAUGCUCAUUUCAUGUUUUGUCCAGGGCUCUAGUCCCCCUCCCAGUCCAUUCUGACCUCGCCUCCUUUAUUUUUCUUCCUUUUAAUAUCUAGAGACCUUUCAUUUCCUCUUAUUUCUUUUGACAGAAAUAACUCUGUUUAACUCCUGGCAUUUCUCAUCCUGUUGACAGCAUUACUGGAUUGAAUCUUCUGAUAAUGUUUCUGAGAGAAUGGUCCAAUUUGCCUUUGUUAUUCAGGUUGGAUUACAGCAGUCAUUUGCUGAAGUUUAAUAAACAAGAAGCCUUUUCUUGUAAGCAGAACUUAAUUUGAAAUGGAAUGAUUUAGAGAGAACAUCACUGUGUCCUUCCGACAUAAGAUGAACCAUCACUUUCGUGCCUAUUGAUCCAGUUUAAUUUCUAUGGCAAGCUCUCAUCAGACCAUUGGAGCAUGGCAUGGAAAGGUGCUGGAGCAUCGUCUGGAAGAACGUGCAGCUCUGAGCUCAUGUUCAACCUGAUGGAAAUGAAUCAGCUUCUCUCGAGCCUUUGCAAAUGUUCCUCAGACUUCGCCCAAGGAAAUCAAGCUUUGGCAAGUGCUUAGAAUCAUAGAAUCAGCAAGGUUGGGAAAUACUUUCAAGAUCAUUAACUACAACCAUUAACCUGGCCUACUGAGCCCCUUCACUAAGCCAUGUCCCCUAGUGCUAUGUGGUAUCACUGACACAGCAUUGUGGUAUCAGAGACAUUCGCAGAUCACUCUUUGAUGGUUUGACUGAAAUACACCAAAUGUUCAACCAUUUCACAGAACAGCUUUUGGUGGAAGAUGUAGUGUAUCAUCUUAGGGAUAUACUACCGGACUAGAAAUGCGUUCCUGCUCUAGACUUCAGCAGGAAGGUUUUGUUAUGUAGAAAAAAAAUCCUAGGUUUUAAGUGACUUACAUUCACUUUUAAGUGAGAGAUAUCUCAUUGCAGUAUGUUACAAAGACUGUCUCUUUCCAACAAAGUGUUGUCAUAUCACGAUGCAUCCAAAGCUCCUUAAAUGCUCACAGUGGUACCACCUCAUGCCCAUUUGUGCAGCCUUUGCUUGGGCUAGUUUCACUCCACAAUAAACUCUUCCGAUGUUUGAAUUUGGCUGAAGCU